rnacentral:lncRNA from 1 species
AUAAUGAAGAGAUUAUAUUCCUUAAGGAAACAUAGUUUUUUGUUGAGCUCGGAACUUUUUCUUACUGUUUUAUGUUUUCACAUUUUUAGUUAGAACACGGGAAUAACAUAUCAUUCCCUCCUCCUCGUACUUUUGAUUUAUGACGAUGUUUUUAUUGAUUUUUGAUGUAUAAAUCUAGUGGUUGUACAUAGAUUUAGUGUUAAUUUAGUGUUAAUUAAUUUUUUAUAGCU